UACGUAGGGGGCAAGCGUUGUCCGGAUUUAUUGGGCGUAAAGAGCGUGUAGGCGGUUAGGUAGGUCCGUUGUGAAAACUCGAGGCUCAACCUCGAGACGCCGGUGGAAACCAUCAGACUAGAGUCCGGAAGAGGAGAGUGGAAUUCCUGGUGUAGCGGUGAAAUGCGCAGAUAUCAGGAAGAACACCCGUGGCUAAGGCGGCUCUCUAGUACGGUACUGACGCUGAGACGCGAAAGCGUGGGGAGCGAACAGG
rnacentral:rRNA from 1 species